rnacentral:rRNA from 1 species
GUCCUUUAGAUUUAAAUUAAAGGUCUAACCUGCCCACUGAAAAAGUUUAAAUGGCCGCAGUAAAUUGACUGUGCAAAGGUAGCAUAAUCAAUAGUUUUUUAAUUAAAAGCUUGUAUGAAUGGUUGGACGAGAUAAAAUCUGUCUUUAAUUAAAAAGUAGAAUUUAAUUUUUAAGUUAAAAAGCUUAAAUUUUAUUAAAAGACGAGAAGACCCUAUAGAUCUUUAUAAUAAAUUAUUUAUUUUUAUUAAGGAUUAUUUAGUUAUUUUAUUUUAUUUAUUAUUUUAUUGGGGUAAUAUUAAGAUUGAAUUAAUUCUUUUUUGAAAAAACAUUUAUUUUUGAUUAAUUGAUCCAUUAUUAGUGAUUAUAAGAUUAAGUUACCUUAGGGAUAACAGCGUAAUUUUUUUAGAGAGUUCUUAUCGAUAAAAAAGUUUGCGACCUCGAUGUUGGAUUAAAAGUUAUUCUAGGUGUAGUAGUUUAGAAAUUUGGUCUGUUCGACCAUUAAACUUUUACA